rnacentral:rRNA from 1 species
AUACGUAGGUGGCACGCGUUGUCCGGAAUUACUGGGUGUAAAGGGAGCGCAGGCGGGGGAGCAAGUCAGAUGUGAAAUCCAUGGGCUCAAACGGUGGAGUGCAGGUGAAACUGGGCAACUUGAGUGCAGAAGAGGUGAGUGGAAUUCCGGUGGUCAUGGUGAAAUGCGUAGAUAAUUGGAAGAAUACCCGUGGAGAAGGCGGCUGUCUGGUCUGUAACUGACGCUGAGGCUCGAAAGUAUGGGUAGCAAACAGGAUUAGAUACCCUGGUAGUCCAUACCGUAAACGAUGAAUGCUAAGUGUUGGAGGGUUUCCGCCCUUCAGUGCUGCAGCUAACGCAUUAAGCAUUCCGCCUGGGGAGUACGGCCGCAAGGCUGAAACUCAAAUGAAUUGACGGGG